rnacentral:rRNA from 1 species
UACGUAGGGUGCGAGCGUUGUCCGGAAUGACUGGGCGUAAAGGGCGCGUAGGCGGCUGUGACAGUCAGAUGUGAAAUUCCUGGGCUCAACCUGGGGGCUGCAUUUGAUACGUGAUGGCUGGAGUGGGGAAGAGGGUCGUGGAAUUCCCAGUGUAGAGGUGAAAUUCGUAGAUAUUGGGAAGAACACCGGUGGCGAAGGCGGCUCUCUGGGACGGUACUGACGCUGAGACGCGAAAGCGUGGGGAGCGAACAGG